rnacentral:rRNA from 1 species
GACAGAGGAUGCAAGCGUUGUCCGGAAUGAUUGGGCGUAAAGCGUCUGUAGGUGGCUUUUUAAGUCCGCCGUCAAAUCCCAGGGCUCAACCCUGGACAGGCGGUGGAAACUACCAAGCUGGAGUACGGUAGGGGGCAGAGGGAAUUUCCGGUGGAGCGGGUGAAAUGACGUAGAGAUCGGAAAGAACACCAACGCGAAAGCACUCUGCUGGGCCGACACUGACACUGAGAGACGAAAGCUAGGGGAGCGAAUGGG